rnacentral:rRNA from 1 species
AGAGUUAAAUAGUACGUGAAAUUGUUGAAAGGGAAACGAUUGAAGUCAGUCAUACCAACGGGAAAUCAACCUGCCCGUUGAGUGAUCACCUGCUGUGGCGAGCCUCAAAACCGCUACGACUCGUGACCACUUAACGGUCUGGUGCACUUUUGUGUCGGCUGGUUAACAUCAAUUUCGAUCAUCAUAAAAAGGCUGGAGGGAUGUGGCUCCUUCGGGAGUGUUAUAACCUUUGGCGGAAUGUGGUGGUCGGGAUUGAGGAUUGCAACGAAUACCUUUAGGGCUGUUCCACCUGGCCUCUCAUUGGUAUCCUGGUGGCGACAGCUUGCUGACGUCGUUAGGAUUCGCCUUUGAACAGGCUAGAGUGUGAGCAAAUUCGUUAAGGAUGUUAACGUAAUGGCUUUAAACGACC